AUCUAACUGUAACUAUGGUAGUUUAUAAGUGUUACCAGACAUUGAUAAGGUUGUAUCUACCAGACAUUGAUAAGGUUGUAUCUACCAGACAUUGACAAGGUUGUAUCUACCAGACAUUGAUAAGGUUGUAUCUACCAGACAUUGAUAAGGUUGUAUCUAACUGUAACUAUGGUAAUUUAUAAGUGUUACCAGACAUUGAUAAGGUUGUAUCUAACUGUAACUAUGGUAAUUUAUAAGUGUUACCAGACAUUGAUAAGGUUGUAUCUAACUGUAACUAUGGUAAUUUAUAAGUGUUACCAGACAUUGAUAAGGUUGUAUCUACCAGACAUUGACAAGGUUGUAUCUACCAGACAUUGAUAAGGUUGUAUCUAACUGUAACUAUGGUAGUUUAUAAGUGUUACCAGACAUUGAUAAGGUUGUAUCUAACUGUAACUAUGGUAAUUUAUAAGUGUUACCAGACAUUGAUAAGGUUUAUCUAACUGUAACUGUGAUAGUUUAUAAGUGUUACCAGACAUUGAUAAGGUUGUAUCUACCAGACAUUGAUAAGGUUGUAUCUACCAGACAUUGAUAAGGUUGUAUCUACCAGACAUUGAUGAGGU